GGCCUCCGCCUGGUAGCAAUAAACGGCCGCGUCCCCGCGCGACUCUGCGUCCCCGGACGGGCUCUGCGGUCGACUGCCAGAGCGCUCCCCGGUUGUCCCGAGCGCAGCGGCCAGCAGACAAGCGCGGCCGGUACACAGGCGGCGCCGCAGCAGCAGAUCGCGUUCUGCACCGGACAGGCGGCCGAAUACGGCGGGCUCGCGCAGCACCUCCAGGUAGUGGUCGCUCAUGAAGCGGUAGGCGGCGUCGCGCAGCUCGGUCAGCCGCUGCCGCUUGCCUGCGCUCAGCACCUCGUAGCAGUUGUCCAGGCUCAGCUGCGGCGCCAUGGCCUCGGUGGCGCGCUGCGCAGCGCCGGGCAGCUGGAGGCGGCGCGCGCCGGCCACCACCUCGGCCACGUUGUCGGGCCGCACGCCCGCCAUGCGCCCGCUGUAUGCGUCGGCCAGCAGUAGCCGCAGGGCAGUGAAGCUCACGCCUUGCACCCGCAGCACGUCCCGGGAUGCGCGCGCGCGGAAGUAGUCGCUGCGUGCGGCCAGCACCGCCUUAUGCGCCCGUAGUCGGCGACCGGCCACCUCGAUGACCAGGUCGGGUUCUCCGUGCACCGACCCGACCCCGGGCGGCACAGGCACGGGCUCCCCAAGCUCGUCCAAAGACUCGAGUUCCACGGGACGCGCGUGCUCGUGUCGGGAAGGGGGAUCCUCCGGCGACGCGGGCUCUUCCGGGCGCGCGCACUCCUCCGGGGACUCUGGGGACGCGGCGCUGCUGACAUCCCACUGCGUCUCCACCACACGCAGGUCGCUGCGGAGAGAAGGCGGAGAGGCUUCGGAGCCCUCCGCGGCAGAGGCGCGAGACUGCGGCGGGGAGUCGUCCCCGGAGCUGAAGCACAAUGAGGCGCUGAGACUGCAGGGUGUCUGCGCUGUGGACGCAGCGCCCUCUUCCUCGGCUGGCAGAGGGAGGCUGUCCUCUCCAGGAGUCCUAGGCUCAGUCCCCGAGUAGAGGACGAAAGGCGCCACCGAGUUCUCCAUGAGUGGGUUGUGUUGUGUGCAGUCGGCCAGCUCAGGAGCUAGACAUGCCUGGUGAAGUCUGAGGUUUGCCCUGGGGUCUCUGGCAGCACAUACCCUUUCCUUGGCACCGGAUCAGAUUUCACAUAUGUCCACCCCCUGAUCACGCCACUCCCACCUUGCCCUUCCCACUCUCCUCUCUUGUGAGGAGGACUCGCCCAACUCUCUGAACUUUCGAAAGAGGAACCUCAACUCAGGCUAUAUCCGUUGGGGCGGAGGUGACCCAGCCUGGUAGCAACAAGGGUUUUGGGGUUUUUGCUUUGCUUUGUUUUGUUUUUUUUGCAGUUUGCACAUCCGACAGACCUGAGCUGAGGCUCCCUUGUGUUGCUCCUUUGGAGAACUGAGGUUAAGUGUGUCUGGUCCACAGCAUGCCCUUCCUUGGACUCUGUGUGAACCCACUGAGUCACCUUGUAUCACAGUACUGUAGACCCAGGACCAACAAAUCCUCCAGGGACGGUGACCACAUUUAAAUCCUUAGCUUCAGCUCUGUUCUACAGACUCCAGUUAUGCAGCCCAGAAUUCAGCUGAGGCUGUCUGAAUCAGGGUGGCAGCUUCAAGCCCACACGGAUCACCUAGGAAACCACUCCACCUAUGGGCGAGUGUCUGGAAAGGCAGUUACUGUGUGUGCCCAGGUUUUCCUCAUUUGUCAUCUGGAGCCUCUGCUGCUUCCUUCCACGUCAGGUUUCCCACAUCACUCUCCACAUUCUUGCUCCUGUCUGCAGAAGGAAAGAGGGAAGAUUUGAGUUUCAUUGUUGAGUGAAACGCUUUUAAAACCCAGGCCCUCCGCCAGUUGCAGUUAGCACCCUAGUCUGGUGGCCACGUGUCUGAUCACCACUGGAGUUUGGUGGACAGGGAAUACAUAAUCACUCAGCCUUCCUCCAGGCGCAGGACUAAAAAGAACCCAGUUCAUGCUCCCUGAGGCUCCACCUGCUACCCCUGUGUGGUCAUUAUUGCAAUCAAGUCUCUUCCUCAGAAAGGCAACUGCCAAAUAGCAUGAAGGCAACCAAAGAAGGUAUGGGUGGGUGUCUGAAUCCCUAAGAACACUAGGCGGAGUUCUCCUGCCCUGGCACACACUGGCCUCUGCCUUGCUGGCGAUCUGAGGGGCAGGUUGUUGUGGUCCAGCUGUAUUCUAGCCUUCUGAAGAGGUUGACUAGGAAGAGCAGAGCCGGCUCGGCCUGACACUUAUGUAGAGAAUCACUUGUCCCCCUAGGCAAGGGAGAAGACGCAUUCAGGUGCUCUCCUUACAUGUGUCAUAACCUGCUCUACACACACACCAUUACACAAGUGCUGAGAUGGUUCGAGUGUGACCUGCCCCUCUCCGGCUUACGUGUAAACACAGGGUUCCCAGCCAGUGCUGCUGCUGGAGGUGACUGGAUGCCUGAAGGAGAGGGUAUGCCCAAACUUUUGACACUGAGACAGGAUGUUGGCAUCUACGGAGUUCCUUGGGGAGACCUGCACAGUCACAUUAACCCACCCCCUAAAAGUUUUUUAUAAACCCUCAUGGUUUAAGUUAUGAAUUUGAUUUGGGCCACAUUCCUUGCUAUCCGAGUGUGUGUGUGUGUGUGUGUGUGUGUAUGCAUCUGUUUAGGAGCUGGGGCUAUGGCUCAAGGGUUAUAGCCCACCCCUCGCCCACCUAGUUUUCUGCUUUCUCAUCUGCCAGGACAUGACAAACCCUGGGCAGACUGUCACCCCCAUAGACGAAGCCCGUGCUGUCACACCUACCACAUGUAAUCGACCAUGCUGUCACACCUACCACAUAUAAUGGACCAUGACCCUUUUAAGCAGCAGACCCAAACAACACUCUUCCCUUGUUUAUCGGGUAUUCCUUAUAGUGAAGAAGAUAACAUAGAAGUAUGUAGGGUGAAGCAUGCCCACCCACACCCAGCAACUCCAGCCACUCUGCCACUGAUGUUUAUCACAGAACUUGGAGACGUUCAGUUCCCUUCAUUCCAGAUCUGUUUCAUGUGGCAUGUCCCACCCCCCACACCCCCCGUGCACUGUAGUAAGAGCCUCCAGAGAUGUAACCUUAGGGGAGCUUGUGAACCUGAAACCUUGGGUCAGAGGACUCCACGGAGGAGGACACAGGUCGUGAUGUUCUCUGGAUGAUCUGUGACCACCCCAGUGAAGCUUCCACCCAGCUCUGUCAGUCCAGGGAACAGAAGGGCUUGCUGGCCCAUAGCAAUGAGGAUGUGAGGGUGACUGCAAACAGAGAGGUGCACCAGCAGCCCAAAGGCUGUCAAGCUUCUCCUCUGGGCUUAGCCACUGAAGGCAAUGGAAGUCAGAAGCAGGACAUACUGUGUCUCCUGUGGAAAUGUCUGGAAACCUCACUGUAUGAGCAGAAGCCGGGCCUUCUUCACACUACCUCUGGGAGAGACCGCAGACCAUCAACCUUAGAAAGCUGUCUGACCUGGGGAGUGGUCUCAGAAUGACCAGGCUCCCUGGCUUGACAGUCCCUGGAAUGUGCAGAUGAUAAGACCAUGGUAUCUUUAUGUUCCUUCAAAGCCUGAGAGGGGAACCAAGCAACAGAAGACUCUAAAAGGGAAGCUUGGGAUUGGCUGUUUAAAGAUCCUGGAGAAAGUAUGAAGCCUGAAAGAAGGUUCAAUAAGUGAGCAGAGUGUACACACCUAAGCUAUGCUAAGGCAAAGGUAUGGUCUGGCCCACACCUAUGGAACCUGUCUCUAUUCACUAGGUCUGGGAUCAACUGACUCUAGCUCCUCCUACCCAUUCAGGGAAAGGAAACUCAGUUACCUCCAAAAGCAUGUUCAAUGUGUUCUUAACAUCUGUGAUGGUUUGUAUAUGCUUGCCCAGGGAGUGGCUCUAUUAGGAGGUAUGACCUUGUCAGAGUAGGUGUGUCACUGUGGACAUCGGCCUCAUCCUAGCUGUCUGGAAGCCAGUUUUGUGCUAGCAGACUUCAGAUAAAGAUGUAGAACUCUCAGCUCCUCCUGCACCAUACCUGCCUGGAUGCUGCCAUGCAGCAUAGCUUGAUGAUAAUUAACUGAACCCCUGAACCUGUAAGCCAGCCCCAAUUAAAUGUUCUUUUU
rnacentral:lncRNA from 1 species